rnacentral:rRNA from 1 species
AACGAACGCUGGCGGCAGGCCUAACACAUGCAAGUCGAGCGAACCCUUCGGGGUUAGCGGCGGACGGGUGAGUAACGCGUGGGAACGUGCCCUUUGCUACGGAAUAGCCCCGGGAAACUGGGAGUAAUACCGUAUGUGCCCUUGGGGAAAGAUUUAUCGGCAAAGGAUCGGCCCGCGUUGGAUUAGGUAGUUGGUGGGGUAAUGGCCUACCAAGCCGACGAUCCAUAGCUGGUUUGAGAGGAUGAUCAGCCACACUGGGACUGAGACACGGCCCAGACUCCUACGGGAGGCAGCAGUGGGGAAUCUUAGACAAUGGGCGCAAGCCUGAUCUAGCCAUGCCGCGUGAUCGAUGAAGGCCUUAGGGUUGUAAAGAUCUUUCAGUGGGGAAGAUAAUGACUGUACCCACAGAAGAAGCCCGGCUAACUCCGUGCCAGCAGCCGCGGUAAAG